AUGACUAAAAUCACUAUAAUUCAAAAGGGAAAAUUUCAAAAUUCCAUGAAAUAUUGGACACUGAUUGCACUGUGCAAUAUUCAAUAUAAAGUGAUAGUUAAAGUUCUAGCAAAUCGUCUUAAAAGAGUUAUUGGCAAGUGCAUUUCAGAUAACCAAUUAGCUUUUGUUCUUGAUAGAUCUAUUAUGGAUAAUGCUAUGGCCUCUAUUGAGGUGGUACAUCAUAUGAUGUCUAAAACAAUGGGUAAAAAUGGUAAUAUAGCUCUUAAGCUUGAUAUCAGUAAAGCUUAUGACAAGAUUGACUAG